rnacentral:rRNA from 1 species
AAAUUGAAGAGUUUGAUCAUGGCUCAGAUUGAACGCUGGCGGCAGGCCUAACACAUGCAAGUCGAGCGGAAACGAGUUAUCUGAACCUUCGGGGGACGAUAACGGCGUCGAGCGGCGGACGGGUGAGUAAUGCCUAGGAAAUUGCCCUGAUGUGGGGGAUAACCAUUGGAAACGAUGGCUAAUACCGCAUAAUGCCUACGGGCCAAAGAGGGGGACCUUCGGGCCUCUCGCGUCAGGAUAUGCCUAGGUGGGAUUAGCUAGUUGGUGAGGUAAGGGCUCACCAAGGCGACGAUCCCUAGCUGGUCUGAGAGGAUGAUCAGCCACACUGGAACUGAGACACGGUCCAGACUCCUACGGGAGGCAGCAGUGGGGAAUAUUGCACAAUGGGCGCAAGCCUGAUGCAGCCAUGCCGCGUGUGUGAAGAAGGCCUUCGGGUUGUAAAGCACUUUCAGUCGUGAGGAAGGUGGUGUAGUUAAUAGCUGCAUUAUUUGACGUUAGCGACAGAAGAAGCACCGGCUAACUCCGUGCCAGCAGCCGCGGUAAUACGGAGGGUGCGAGCGUUAAUCGGAAUUACUGGGCGUAAAGCGCAUGCAGGUGGUUUGUUAAGUCAGAUGUGAAAGCCCGGGGCUCAACCUCGGAAUAGCAUUUGAAACUGGCAGACUAGAGUACUGUAGAGGGGGGUAGAAUUUCAGGUGUAGCGGUGAAAUGCGUAGAGAUCUGAAGGAAUACCGGUGGCGAAGGCGGCCCCCUGGACAGAUACUGACACUCAGAUGCGAAAGCGUGGGGAGCAAACAGGAUUAGAUACCCUGGUAGUCCACGCCGUAAACGAUGUCUACUUGGAGGUUGUGGCCUUGAGCCGUGGCUUUCGGAGCUAACGCGUUAAGUAGACCGCCUGGGGAGUACGGUCGCAAGAUUAAAACUCAAAUGAAUUGACGGGGGCCCGCACAAGCGGUGGAGCAUGUGGUUUAAUUCGAUGCAACGCGAAGAACCUUACCUACUCUUGACAUCCAGAGAACUUUCCAGAGAUGGAUUGGUGCCUUCGGGAACUCUGAGACAGGUGCUGCAUGGCUGUCGUCAGCUCGUGUUGUGAAAUGUUGGGUUAAGUCCCGCAACGAGCGCAACCCUUAUCCUUGUUUGCCAGCGAGUAAUGUCGGGAACUCCAGGGAGACUGCCGGUGAUAAACCGGAGGAAGGUGGGGACGACGUCAAGUCAUCAUGGCCCUUACGAGUAGGGCUACACACGUGCUACAAUGGCGCAUACAGAGGGCGGCCAACUUGCGAAAGUGAGCGAAUCCCAAAAAGUGCGUCGUAGUCCGGAUUGGAGUCUGCAACUCGACUCCAUGAAGUCGGAAUCGCUAGUAAUCGUGGAUCAGAAUGCCACGGUGAAUACGUUCCCGGGCCUUGUACACACCGCCCGUCACACCAUGGGAGUGGGCUGCAAAAGAAGUAGGUAGUUUAACCUUCGGGGGGACGCUUACCACUUUGUGGUUCAUGACUGGGGUGAAGUCGUAACAAGGUAGCGCUAGGGGAACCUGGCGCUGGAUCACCUCCUUAUACGAUGAU